rnacentral:rRNA from 1 species
GACGAACGCUGGCGGCGUGCUUAACACAUGCAAGUCGAACGAAGUGGCGAACGGGUGAGUAACGCGUAAUCAACCGGCCCUUCAGAGGGGGACAACAGUUGGAAACGACUGCUAAUACCUCAAAAUGAAGGAGGGGAUUGCGACUGAUUAGCUAGUUGGAGGGGUAACGGCCCACAAAGGCGACGAGCGGUAGCCGGGCUGAGAGGAUGAACGGCCACACUUGGACUGGGACCAGGCCCACACUCCUACGGGAGGCAGCAGUGGGGAAUCUUCCGCAAUGGACGAAAGUCUGACGGAGCAACGCCGCGUGAGUGAUGACGGCCUUCGGGUUGUAAAGCUCUGUUAAUCGGGACGCGGUACCGGAAUAGAAAGCCACGGCUAACUACGUGCCAGCAGCCGCGGUAAUAC